rnacentral:rRNA from 1 species
AACGAACGCUGGCGGCAUGCCUAACACAUGCAAGUCGAACGAGACCUUCGGGUCUAGUGGCGCACGGGUGCGUAACGCGUGGGAACCUGCCCUUAGGUUCGGAAUAACUCCCCGAAAGGGGUGCUAAUACCGGAUAAUGUCUUCGGACCAAAGAUUUAUCGCGUGUGGAUGGGCCCGCGUUGGAUUAGCUAGUUGGUAGGGUAAAAGCCUACCAAGGCGACGAUCCAUAGCUGGUCUGAGAGGAUGAUCAGCCACACUGGGACUGAGACACGGCCCAGACUCCUACGGGAGGCAGCAGUGGGGAAUAUUGGACAAUGGGCGAAAGCCUGAUCCAGCAAUGCCGCGUGAGUGAUGAAGGCCUUAGGGUUGUAAAGCUCUUUUACCCGGGAUGAUAAUGACAGUACCGGGAGAAUAAGCUCCGGCUAACUCCGUG